GGAUAAAUGACUGUACAUGCAGCCUCCUCUUCUUGACUUUUCAACGACAAAUUCAAGAUGAUUUAAUGUAUUGGGCCAGAUUUUAUAAAAGUUAAAAUACAAUGACUCUUAUAUAAAAAUAUACUAAUCAAUCUAUAAAUAUAAGAAAACUUACAUAAUAUCGAAGUUCUAGAUCAUACUGUGAGCUGGAUCGUGACCCGAGAAGGCUGGAUCCGCGCGUAGUUGAGGAACACUAUAAUGUUCAACAACAUGGAGUAGUAAGCAUACUGCAAACCAUGAUGCUGAUAGUACAGUUGCUGGUCAGCGCUUCUAAGACGAGUUACGUGUCCAUGUCUAGCUUACAGAGCCAUGCAGAUCAGGUUCUCUUUGCAGCAUGCUUUCUGCGAGUCCAAACAAUCAGAUAAGAGUCGAAAUCAUACAACAAGACUACGUAUGACAGCAACCUGAAGGAAGGUCGGAUGUUCCAUUACCACUGAUUAAGAAACAGAUAAACUAUGUAAUCAAAUAUACUAAAUUAAAAUUAAGGUGAAACAACCAUAUCAACUGCAGAAUGAUUUGAUUAGAUAGGAUCUAUCCAAUGAUUUCCGUUUCCUUUUUUUUCUCUUGUUCCCCUCUUCUUCUGAGGACCCACAAUACCAUUUGGCCAUGUGAUUUGAACUUGACAACAAAGGUGACCAAACCCAAAUCUUUUGUAACCAUCUCUGUGUAUUUUCUCUUCGAACAUCCUUCUUCAGAGUUCCCUUUUGGAAAGUGAUGUGUUUAUGCAUCCAUCACAUUCUACCAACAGUUUCAGCCUCCUCUUCUUUGUUAUUAAUAAAUAAUUUACAAUUUUAUAGACAUUGGACAGUGUUUCAGGUUUUCUGAUCAGCAGGAGAAACAAAGAUGAAGGUGAAAGUCCCAAACUUCACUGUAUUUCCUUUGAAAAAAUGGAUGCACAACUUUCUUAACUUAUAAUUCCCUUUGUUGCAUUCAUUUUAGUUACUUGAUUGGAUGCACCGCAAGUUGCGGCAGAAUAGCAAUGAACAACCUCUCAAGGAUUUCUGCGUUGGUACUAUAAGAUCCUUUCUAUAUGUAUAUAUGGAUUUAUUACCUUUCUGGUAAUUUUCUUUUUUCUUUUGGAUGAACAUAUUUGAUAUUUCGUCCUGUGCAAAAACUUCAGGGCAAGCCUACAAUUGCCUUACGGCACAGCCAUCGAUCGAUGAGCAAGAGACCUUCCAAAAGAAAAACUAUGGGAACAGAACAUACAUGCAGUUCUCCCGGGAGAAUCUGCUGGGUAUGAAAGCUGAAUUAGGAGAAGGAGAUGAAGACUACUAUGCAGAUGAAAUGUCAGAGCUUUUCCAUGGGUUCCUAGCCAUUGGAACGCUUGGUUCCGACCCAACCGGCACCAAUCCACCAGCAACACCAACAUUUGCAAUUGGCUUGGAGAACAUUACGGAGCAAGAGAUUGAGGAUCAUGAAGCAACUGAGAAUGAGCUGAAACUGAUCAACGAUGAGCUUGAGAAGGUACUGAUAGCUCAGGAAAGCAGCUGGAACAAUGACAUUUCGGCAAGAAACAGCCACGUGAGUGGAGGGAGAAGCAGCCAAGGGAGCACGAUUACUCUGAGUGGGAAGGCAUUGUUUGAAGGGAGAGAGAGCAAUGCAGUUUGCCCUCUGCAAGAGUAUCUGUUUGGUUCUGCAGUGGAGAUUCCAGCGGAGACGACUACUGCUGUAAAGAAAGAGGGGAAUAGGACUUCACUUGGGGAGCUGUUCCAGAAGACUAAGCUGGCUGAGGAGAAUAAUGGUGGUGGAGGUAAAUGGGGGGAGAUGGGUGGUAGGGAAGAUGAGAAGCGGAAUCAUGAGAAGGAAGGAGAGAAGAAGCUUCUCCAUAUCCAGCUGAUGAAGAAGAUGCUUAAGAAGAAACUUCUCCAUGCUUGUUCCAGGAAUUCCAAUGAUUCCUCUGAUUAUGGAAAUUCAGCUGAGACCAAACUGCACAAGGUUGGUUCUCUAUAUAAUUUCUGCGGUAGCUGAAUCAUAGGAAAAGUUUGGCAUCUAGAAUCAUGAUUCAUAGGAAAGUUGAGUAGUGUAAUUUUCUUUCCCCAGCUGCUCAAGGGGAAAUUAAUUUUUCUUAGGAAUCCUUUAUAUCCAUUAACUCAACUAUCCUUCCACAGCUCCUCCCUGCCUCAACUCAAUUUUCGUAGGAAGCAUGAUUCUGGAUGCCUAACCUUACGAUAUAUACUAUAUUAUCUGACAUUUUAGUUUGCAGAUCAAGCGAAUGUUUUACAGGAAAGUUCAUCCGGAGAAUCUAGAACCAGGACAGGCAACACCAGCUGGGAAGAAAGGAACCAAAUCCGAGAAGAACAAGGAGAAAAAGAACAAGAAGAAGGGGCAGAACAUGAAUGAAGGAGGAGACGGAGUGGCGAAUGGAGUUCGAGGGAGUCAACCAAAUGCAGUGGAGUUUGGUAUGGACGACUUCGACUCCAACGGGAGCCGGGAAUGCUGGAUCAAGACAGAUGCACAGUGUAUGUAUAUGCUAUACUUGGUCUCUAAUUACUGACUGGGCUUAGGUCUGGAACUGAGUAUGAACAGAACUAAACAAUUAGAGUAGAAGUAUCCAUAUCAUUAUCCUGCAUUGUCCACACUAGAUAAUUGAUGAAACUAAAUCCGGCAUAUGAACAUGUAAACUCUUGUUUGCAGAUCUGGUGUUAGAGCUGUGAGGAGGAGAAGCAGGAGCCAGAUAAGAAUGGACUAAAUGGUUGUGUUUUUAAAAAAAGGUUGUGAUAGAGAACACUGGUAUACAUAAACUCUAUCAGAAGCAGUAAUUAACGGGGUGUAUUAGUUAUAAAUUUGCAGGAAGGAUAAGGAUGUGUCAGCAAUUAAAGUAUGGUUAUAUAUGAAUGAAUUGUAUGUUGGAAGUGGGUUUGAGUGAAUAAGAAGGGUUCCCUUCUUUCUCCCAGCGUCCUUUUGUAAUGCUAUUUCGACUGUACUGUGUGUAAUAUUGUGGGACAGAAGCUUUCUGUUUAUUAUUGUUAUUUUUUAUGAUGUCUUUUAUAAAACUAAAAACCAUACAUGACAUUGAAAUAACCAGUGAGAAUUCAAACAGCGAUAGUUUAAAAAGUAGACCUUUUUUCUCUUUCUGCUGCAACUGUGGCCAUAGUAGAACGGUAGAACCCACAUGAUCGCCAAAUUGACUGGGGACGAUGUCAUCAGCAGCAGAAACAGAAUCCUCCUCCUGCAUUACCAGCUCUCUCAUUCAUUGUCCAGAAGCCAGCACUGUUGAAUGCUGAAAUCUUGUAUUAUUACCAAAAACAUCUAACAACAAAAUUCUAGAAAAAAGAAAAGUGGUUAUUCAAUCAGUGGUGAUUAAACAGGAGCAAAAUCAGCAUCCAACGGCCAAAUUCUCUACACAAUAAAAAGGAUAAAGGUCAAGCUGCUGAGAUACGAUUGCUGGAGUGAAAAGCUGAAAGAUUUAACAAGCUCGGUAGUUGUGGUUUUCACUUACACUGAUGUGAGAGGCGUGAGGUUACCUGCUGAAGUCCUGAGCUUGGAAUGUCUGCCGACUUUUCUCUUCGCUGUGCUCAAGUGUUCGUCGAUGCAGUAACAGUUUGAUCUAAGAACUGCAAACAGACGCUUGAGAAAUUGAUCUUCCUGAAAAAUGGGCCCAAUCUCUGCCAGAAUCACUUGAGCCCAAUGCUAUGACGACGUGUUUAUACACUUGCCGUCUGCUACUUCAUGACUUUCUGAUUUUCUCACUGGAGAUCUCCUCCUCAUUUCAUCGAGGAACCCUAAUCUCUCUUCUUCCGUUCGUUCUCUAUGGAUAAAUCAUGCUGACUCCUUUCUUCAAGCACACUCUGAUGUCUGCCAAGGAAGUGAGUGAGUUCGAACUUCAGAAAGUGGUAAUCUUGACACC
rnacentral:lncRNA from 1 species